rnacentral:rRNA from 1 species
CACGUAGGGUGCGCGCGUUGUCCGGAAUUAUUGGGCGUAAAGAGCUCGUAGGCGGUGUGUCGCGUCGGCCGUGAAAACCUGCAGCUUAACUGUGGGCUUGCGGUCGAUACGGGCAUCACUGGAGUUCGGCAGGGGAGACUGGAAUUCCUGGUGUAGCGGUGAAAUGCGCAGAUAUCAGGAGGAACACCGGUGGCGAAGGCGGCAUCCUGGACCGGUAUUGACGCUGAGGCGCGAAAGCUAGGGGAGCAAACGGG